rnacentral:rRNA from 1 species
GGACGAACGCUGGCGGCGUGCCUAAUCCAUGCAAGUUGAGCGCUGAAGGUUGGUACUUGUACCGACUGGAUGAGCAGCGAACGGGUGAGUAACGCGUGGGGAAUCUGCCUUUGAGCGGGGGACAACAUUUGGAAACGAAUGCUAAUACCGCAUAAAAACUUUAAACACAAGUUUUAAGUUUGAAAGAUGCAAUUGCAUCACUCAAAGAUGAUCCCGCGUUGUAUUAGCUAGUUGGUGAGGUAAAGGCUCACCAAGGCGAUGAUACAUAGCCGACCUGAGAGGGUGAUCGGCCACAUUGGGACUGAGACACGGCCCAAACUCCUACGGGAGGCAGCAGUAGGGAAUCUUCGGCAAUGGACGAAAGUCUGACCGAGCAACGCCGCGUGAGUGAAGAAGGUUUUCGGAUCGUAAAACUCUGUUGGUAGAGAAGAACGUUGGUGAGAGUGGAAAGCUCAUCAAGUGACGGUAACUACCCAGAAAGGGACGGCUAACUACGUG